UUGUUUUGUCUAGAGUAUUACUGUGUAAUAGAUGAUAGCUUGAAUUCUUCAAUUGUCCAUUAUUUGCUCUAGUUUCUCACAAUAUAAGGACUAAUUUCAAUGAUGUCACUUUAUUGAUAAAUAGAUUAAGGGGAGUGACCAAAUUAAUAUGCAUAAUGUAAAGCUUGUUGUGUUUCUCGAAGUUCAGAUUGUUGCCUAUGUUAUGACAGAAUGUGCAGAGGAGGAUAUGUGUUUGGUAUGAUGGUUUGACUGGAGCUUCGAGCUGUUAUUGGGAGUGGAUGACACAUGGGUGACAGGAGGUGUAUGGGAGGAGACGAAAGGAGGGGAAAAAGGACCAAAUGAAAUUGAAAAAUGAAGGACAUAGAUGAAAGGAGAGAAGAGUUUCUUGGACGGAUUGUUAAGAGAAUUGGCUCAGAGUUAUCCAGACUUACAAAGUUAUCCAGACUUACAGGUAUAGACAAUCAGUUUGACGAGCCCUCAUAGUACAUGAGGUCAGCAUUCAGCUAAGGAUCGGUAAGACUCCACCUUAUUCAGAGUGCAGCCGAGUCUAUGUGUCUUCUUGUCAGAAUUUUGCUACAAACUUAUGGGUAGGCCGGUACCCUGUCCCAUUUGAUGUCAAAUAAUCUUAGAGGCUUUGUAGAUAGAGGUUCAU